AUUGAACGCUGGCGGCAUGCUUUACACAUGCAAGUCGAACGGCAGCGGGGUAGUGCUUGCACUACUGCCGGCGAGUGGCGAACGGGUGAGUAAUAUAUCGGAACGUACCGAGUAAUGGGGGAUAACCAAUCGAAAGAUUGGCUAAUACCGCAUACGUCCUGAGGGAGAAAGCGGGGGAUCGCAAGACCUCGCGUUAUUCGAGCGGCCGAUAACUGAUUAGCUAGUUGGUGGGGUAAAGGCCUACCAAGGCGACGAUCAGUAGCGGGUCUGAGAGGACGAUCCGCCACACUGGGACUGAGACACGGCCCAGACUCCUACGGGAGGCAGCAGUGGGGAAUUUUGGACAAUGGGGGCAACCCUGAUCCAGCCAUGCCGCGUGUAUGAAGAAGGCCUCCGGGUUGUAAAGUACUUUUGUUAGGGAAGAAAAGGGAAGUGCUAAUACCACUUUUUGCUGACGGUACCUAAAGAAUAAGCACCGGCUAACUACGUG
rnacentral:rRNA from 1 species